UCUUCCUGUUGAAGGUUGGGCCCGUGUUGUGGGUUUUUCCCUGCUUUAUGAAAUCAACAUUUUGUAUCACAUUUCGUAUCGCAAAGACAGGUUGUCUCAUGUUGGAGGAGGGGUCACCAACCGUUCUGAAACUAAGAGCUUGUUCAGAGGCACUUAGUGAUAUGAAGAGCUACUUGUUUGAUACAGACUUCCAAAACAAUGUAAUAAGUUAGUUCUGGGACAUACAAUAGCAGACACUCUUCUUACCAACGUCAUUGCACCCAUUUGAAUAUCACUGCAAGUGUAACUGAUUCAAAAAGCACAGUUAGAAACUACCUGUUAAUACUUUUCUGGCUGCAGUACCACUGUUGACCAGUAUUUUAUUAAUUCUGUCAACAUAUUCUCAAUGACUCUUGUGAAUUACGGUUUUAAUUUUGUAGCUAAUUAAAUGGGAAUGUGAAGCCAAUGGACACAUAUGCAUCUCGCUACCGUGGAUCUCCCAAUAACAGCCUGUCCAUGCCCAUGAAGCACGUACAGUGACGUCAGUGACGUCAAAAUGUGUUCAAUUUUUACAUGGUAAAAAAGUUGAGUUUCAGUGAAUACGUCGUUCAACUACAAAUGUUUUGACUGUGUGUAAAUUAAUUAGAAUUUCCCUUUUGUAUUUUACAGGUGAACACAUUGAGUGUAAAUACUGUCCACCAUUUUAAUAUAAUACAAUGCAAUGUUUUUGUUAAAAUAUUUUGUGUCUGGGUAUCUUACGAUAGGACCCUAAACAUAUAAACGACAUUUACGAGCUGCGGUUUAAAAAUCUGGCGUGGAGACGAUCAGCUUCAGCUGCGAAAUCUGGCAGCUGCAAACUCAUUCGCUAACGUGAUUUAACUCUAAACUACUUCCUGAUUAAAACAAAUAAGUUAAUUGAAACCACAAAACGCAGCAUCAUCACCAGUAGCAGUGGAGGAAAACAACUCCAGCACAGAACCGAGUGAAAAACAUCCUCACUGCUGUUUCCAGAAUUUUCCGCCCCACAGCAGUUAAAGGCUACUGUACAAAAACAUGGCUGUCCAACAUGGCAGCCCCCAUAGGAAAAUAACGACUUCUCGGAAAAUAAGAACAGCAUAAUCUGAGGAAGACCGUCAAAGGCUCGAUCGAUGAUCUUUUUGAUGUAAGGCAAGAGCAUCGACCAUCCUAUUGGGUCGAUGCGUAUUACUGUUUAAUGAUAACUAACGAACAGGGAAAAAUAAGCAGAAAAAUUUAGUUUUCUCCAGAAAAUGUGCCGCACAUGUACUUGCAGCUCUCUUCCUGUAGAUGUCAGUGUUGUUGAGUAUAUCUGUGCUUUUGUGAACGCUGUCAUGACCAAAAAUCAGAAUGUUUCUGAUAAUGUCAUAAGUUCUUGAACAUACGCCCAGCCAAAAUUCGUAUGUGAUGACACAUUUAAGUUCACAUCCGGAGGUGUUUUGUAGGUUUUGUGUGUUCCAAGCUGUUGGCUAUAAGACAAUGAAAGACAAUUUGUACCCACAUAUGGCUGCCAAAAUCUGCUAACUCAAUGUUAGCCUAUAUGUGGUGUCAUAAUCUUUCUGUGAUGGUCAUAAACUUUACUUGAAGGGAGUAUGCUAAAGUUUUAUUUGAAAAAAAAACAACUGGACUUUUCUGGUUAAGGUUCAGAAUGGAUAUUUAAAAAUACCCUUGCACAAGAUGUUUAGUAAUAUUACAGAAUAUAUAUCAACAUCAUGUGUUAACAGGUACUGCCCUAAUCCAUCUCACAUUAAUUAAAACAAACAAACAAACAAACAAAAAAAACAUGUUGAACAGCUUUUGCUUUUAAAUGGAUUUUAAAACUUAGGGUGUGUUGAUUUAUGUCAGUGUGGUCCAAAAUAAAUAAAACUGUCCCAAAUAUGUCAGAAAAUGAAGAACAGAUUAUUGUUUAACAGCUGCCUGCCAGCGACAGCUCACUGAAGUGGUCCACUGUAGCGGUUCUGACUCCCUCUAAAUUUGAAUCAGGCUGUCCUUUUUGCAUUUGAUACUAGUUAAUAAUUCUUGGAUAUUUUCUGUGUACUGCCAGGAAUCAAAACUGAGCAUCUGCAGAGCAGAGCAGUGUGUGUGUGAUCCUGGUGCAGCUAUAGUUGUGGGGACAUUUUUCAAGGUCAAAUACUGCUGUGUUGUGGUGACACGUCAUCUUUGUGGGGACAUAUUGCAAAUGAGAGGUUGUUUAAGAUUGGCCAGACUAAUUCUAGUUUGUCUCACUAAUUAAUCAAGAACCCAUUUUUAUUUUAUUUCCCUUUCAAAAUAUAUACAUUCUGGUGUCAUUCGCAUCUCUGCUGAUCAUUUUAUUGACUCAUCUUUCUCUAACUCUCUCAUCAAUUUAUUUUAAAUUGAAAUCUAAAUAUAUUAAUUAUAUUUAUGUUUUUUAUUUUUUCAUUUUCCCAGCUUACCUCCUUCUCACCUCUGUUCCUCCUAAGAAAUGUAUUGAAUAUUUCUCUCUUCCGCUGUCUCCCUCUGCUGGCCAACGUGAACACCAUCUUUUCGUCAUCAUUUUGUCUUCCUCUCGUCACUGUGUUUUGUGUUGUCCUAUAGUCACUCGUUUAUCCUUUAAAUAUCAUAAACCGUCUUCUCUUCCUCCCCUCGUAUCCUAUCACCUCUUUUUCUCCUUUGUCUUUUUUUGUUAUUUUGUCUUCUUUCCUUUUCUCUCAACUCCUCAUCAAAGAUUUGCACAAGACAUUUUCUUGAUUUUUAACACAUGUAAAGUUCAAGAACAAAUCUGCUGCUCAUCGAGCCUCCAAACCUUUGUUGAUGACACUCUUUUUUUGAAGUUUUGUUUUACAA